rnacentral:sRNA from 1 species
AGGGGAGAUGGGCCCUGGGGGCAAGCGAGGUUUCAGGGUCACUUGGGGUGUGCAGAGCCAAGUUGUGACCCUAGUGCCAUGUGACUUGGCAGAAGCCCUGCCUGUUCCCACAUCUGUAAAGUUAGGCAUUUGGGGUGCUCCAUCGUGAGCCUCCUUCCUGUUCUAACAUUCAGUGUGGGUUUGAGGCCCGUGGGCAUGGAGCUGUCCGUCACCCUUGUCAGUCGGGCACCUCGUCCUGGGCUCCCAGGUGGAGGUCUCUGGAAGCCCUUGCUGAGCUGGGCUGGAGCUCCUUUGCCCUGACCUUGCUGUUGCCGUUGACCUCCUUCAUGGGAGCAUCUGGUCUUGACCUGGGGCAGCCACCAGCACGCGAGGCUCCUGUCUUGGAGGCAGGGGGCACACUGGUGUGUGGGAGCUGGCUUAGGGCCCUGCUUCGCAGUUGGACCACCUUGGGCAGGUUGCCCAGCUCCCAAGGGCUCACGUUCUUCCUCCUGCCCCUUUUGCACAGUUUUCCGACAGCUCAACACGGCCAUCGCCGUAUCCCAGAUGUCCUCAGGCCAGUGCCGCCUGGCCCCGCUCAUCCAGGUCAUCCAGGACUGCAGCCACCUCUACCACUACACGGUCAAGCUCCUGUUCAAGCUACACUCUUGUCUCCCUGCGGACACCCUGCAAGGCCACAGGGACCGGUUCCACGAGCAGUUUCACAGCCUCAGGAACUUCUUCCGCAGAGCCUCUGACAUGCUGUAUUUCAAGCGGCUCAUCCAGAUCCCCCGGCUGCCCGAGGGACCCCCUAACUUCCUGCGGGCCUCAGCCCUGGCUGAGCACAUCAAGCCGGUGGUGGUGAUCCCCGAGGAGGCCCCGGAGGACGAGGAACCGGAGAAUCUCAUUGAGAUCAGCACGGGGCCCCCCGCGGGGGAGCCAGUGGUGGUGGCUGACCUGUUCGAUCAGACGUUUGGACCCCCCAAUGGCUCUGUGAAGGAUGACAGGGACCUCCAGAUUGAGAGCUUGAAGAGAGAGGUGGAAAUGCUCCGCUCUGAGCUGGAGAAGAUCAAGCUGGAGGCCCAGCGGUACAUCUCGCAGCUGAAGAGUCAGGUGAAUGCACUGGAGGGUGAGCUGGAGGAGCAGCGGAAGCAGAAGCAGAAGGCCCUGGUGGAUAAUGAGCAGCUCCGCCACGAGCUGGC